UCAUUCCAAAGCAUAGUGUGCUGCCUU
rnacentral:piRNA from 1 species